GGCGGUAUGACGGAAUUGGCAUACGUGCUUGUUUCGCAAACAAGUGAGUGGUAACACGCUCGUGCGGGUUCAAUUCCCGUCCGCCUUCA
rnacentral:tRNA from 1 species